UGUCCACGUCAGAUUAAAAAAUCGGCCAAUAGGAGAACAGCAUUCGGACACGUCAGCACGGCUUUGGGUUUUGUUGGGCUUAAUUUUUUUUAUCUGAUUUGUUUGAUGAGACGCCUGUUAACUCAUCGUUGUUCUUCGUCGUUUCCUAUCCUCUUCUUCUCCUCUAACUGAAAGUCGAUGACUCUCUCAAGAGAAGCUCUUCAAUCGGUUGAAGGUCGACGGAGAUGAUGAUGAAGCUGAUAAGGGAGGGACGAUAACGGUUGGUAUUUUCUGGAACGUGACGAUCGCUCGGAGGAAAGAGUGGAUUGGCUAGAGAAUUAGGUUUUUGGAUGGAGGAUUAACGGAAGAGAAGAAGGUUCGUUUCAGUGGGAUUAGACGGAGAGAUGAAAGACAGCAAGAAGAAGACAUGGAUGCUGCCAUAGAAGUCGACUUGAAGCUUCGAGAUAAACGGAGAUGGAUGAAUGUAUAUACCAAAUCAAACCACAAUCCCCAAUUGAGUAAUAAAGCUAUGAAUCUGGGUAAUUUCGAAUCUCAUUUUUUGUGACUCCGUUGCAUUCUCUGACAUGCCCUUUGCUUUUUCUUUCACGAUCUGUUCCUGUUACAUAACACCGAUGUAACCUUGACAGUGUUCGAUCAUGGAGAUUAUGGUCCAGGCUUUCGAUUUCUUCCAUAUAGAUUAAAUGUGAUCAUUAAAGGGUUUAGCUUUCACAUUUUUUUUAUCUAUGAAAACAAAUAUGUCUUCGUUUCAGCUAAAGUUUCACUCCUUUUUAUAUCUAGCACACCAAGGUUUCAGCUACAUCGAAGCUAAGGAGCUCAAACGGGAGACAUUGGUUUUGAUUACUAUGCGGCAGAACCGGAGAUUCACUUUUUCUCGGCUAUUCCUGAGGAAGGUAGCAUAUCCAAGGAUGAUCUUGAGAAAAAACUAGAUCCUUCUGUUUUCAAAAUUGGAAGCACACAAGCUGCUAAAAAGAGGUGGGUUGCAAUGGGAAAGCAAGUCUCUAGGAAGGUUCAACAUGUUGAAGAUAAAGUGAAGGAGUCUCUUCUACAAAUACAACAAGGACUGGAACUUGACAAAGAAAGUCUCAACUCUCUCAAAACCAGGAAACUCUUAGUAACAUAGGGAUGGACGGGAUAUUCUGAUGUUGAGAAAGGUCCUAAUUAUGCUCCCAAAAGGAAGAUUUUUGCUACUGACUUGACUCGAGAAAAUCUACACAACUGGAAAGAGUUGGAAUUCAAGGAGUAUAACUUCAAUGCUAAGGGACAACCUCUUGAUGCUAGCUAUCUCCAUCCCCUUCUUAAGGUCUCAGAUUCUCUGUCCUUUUGCCCAUCAGAUCUAUAUACUAUAUUAAAAGGGUUAUAUGAGGAGUAGAGAGGAUGUCCACGUCAGAUUAAAAAAUCGGCCAAUAGGAGAACAGCAUUCGGACACGUCAGCACGGCUUUGGGUUUUGUUGGGCUUAAUUUUUUUUAUCUGAUUUGUUUGAUGAGACGCCUGUUAACUCAUCGUUGUUCUUCGUCGUUUCCUAUCCUCUUCUUCUCCUCUAACUGAAAGUCGAUGACUCUCUCAAGAGAAGCUCUUCAAUCGGUUGAAGGUCGACGGAGAUGAUGAUGAAGCUGAUAAGGGAGGGACGAUAACGGUUGGUAUUUUCUGGAACGUGACGAUCGCUCGGAGGAAAGAGUGGAUUGGCUAGAGAAUUAGGUUUUUGGAUGGAGGAUUAACGGAAGAGAAGAAGGUUCGUUUCAGUGGGAUUAGACGGAGAGAUGAAAGACAGCAAGAAGAAGACAUGGAUGCUGCCAUAGAAGUCGACUUGAAGCUUCGAGAUAAACGGAGAUGGAUGAAUGUAUAUACCAAAUCAAACCACAAUCCCCAAUUGAGUAAUAAAGCUAUGAAUCUGGGUAAUUUCGAAUCUCAUUUUUUGUGACUCCGUUGCAUUCUCUGACAUGCCCUUUGCUUUUUCUUUCACGAUCUGUUCCUGUUACAUAACACCGAUGUAACCUUGACAGUGUUCGAUCAUGGAGAUUAUGGUCCAGGCUUUCGAUUUCUUCCAUAUAGAUUAAAUGUGAUCAUUAAAGGGUUUAGCUUUCACAUUUUUUUUAUCUAUGAAAACAAAUAUGUCUUCGUUUCAGCUAAAGUUUCACUCCUUUUUAUAUCUAGCACACCAAGGUUUCAGCUACAUCGAAGCUAAGGAGCUCAAACGGGAGACAUUGGUUUUGAUUACUAUGCGGCAGAACCGGAGAUUCACUUUUUCUCGGCUAUUCCUGAGGAAGGUAGCAUAUCCAAGGAUGAUCUUGAGAAAAAACUAGAUCCUUCUGUUUUCAAAAUUGGAAGCACACAAGCUGCUAAAAAGAGGUGGGUUGCAAUGGGAAAGCAAGUCUCUAGGAAGGUUCAACAUGUUGAAGAUAAAGUGAAGGAGUCUCUUCUACAAAUACAACAAGGACUGGAACUUGACAAAGAAAGUCUCAACUCUCUCAAAACCAGGAAACUCUUAGUAACAUAGGGAUGGACGGGAUAUUCUGAUGUUGAGAAAGGUCCUAAUUAUGCUCCCAAAAGGAAGAUUUUUGCUACUGACUUGACUCGAGAAAAUCUACACAACUGGAAAGAGUUGGAAUUCAAGGAGUAUAACUUCAAUGCUAAGGGACAACCUCUUGAUGCUAGCUAUCUCCAUCCCCUUCUUAAGGUCUCAGAUUCUCUGUCCUUUUGCCCAUCAGAUCAACAAAGUUUCAUGUCUGAACUUGAUUCCCAGGUCUCUACUGCCUUUGACCCGUUUGCUGAUGCGAUGCUGAGGACUCAGGUGCGGGAACAAAGGAGUACGUCCACAUCCGUGUGCAGCAGCGCAAUGGUAGGAAAAGCUUGACAAAGAAAGAGUAUAUUUAAAGCAAGAUACUUAAGGACCUCAAGAAAGAGUUUUGUUGCAACAGUACAUUGGUUGCAGACACAAUAAUUGCAUAUAAAUAAAUAUAUUAUCAAUUUAAAUAUCA